GACGAACGCUGGCGGCGUGCCUAAUACAUGCAAGUAGGACGCAGUUGCGAACGGGUGAGUAACGCGUAGGUAACUACCUAUUAGAGGGGGAUAACUAUUGGAAACGAUAGCUAAUACCGCAUACUAGUAGAAGGACCUGCGUUGUAUUAGCUAGUAGGUAGGGUAAUGGCCUACCUAGGCAACGAUACAUAGCCGACCUGGGAGGGGGUACGACCACACUGGUACUGAGACACAGCCCAGACUCCUACGGGAGGCAGCAGUAGGGAAUCUUCGGGAAUGGGGGGAACCCGGACCGAGCAACGCCGCGUGUGUGAAGAAGGUUUGCGGAUCGUAAAGCUCUGUUGUUAAGGAAGCGGUACUUAACCAGAAAGGGCCGGCUAACUACGUGCCAGCAGCCGCGGUAAUUC
rnacentral:rRNA from 1 species